CCCGCUGAACUUAAGCAUAUCAAUAAGCGGAGGAAAAGAAACUAACAAGGAUUCCCCUAGUAACUGCGAGUGAAGCGGGAAGAGCUCAAAUUUGAAAUCUGGCGGUCCCUUGGGCUGUCCGAGUUGUAAUCUAGAGAAGUGUUACCUGUGCUGGACCGUGUACAAGUCUCCUGGAAUGGAGCAUCACAGAGGGUGAGAAUCCCGUCUUUGACACGGACUGCCUGUGCGAUACGGUGCGCUCUCGAAGAGUCGAGUUGUUUGGGAAUGCAGCUCAAAAUGGGUGGUAAAUUCCAUCUAAAGCUAAAUAUUGGGGAGAGACCGAUAGCGAACAAGUACCGUGAGGGAAAGAUGAAAAGAACUUUGGAAAGAGAGUUAAACAGUACGUGAAAUUGCUGAAAGGGAAACGCUUGAAGUCAGUCGCGUCGCUCAGGACUCAGCCUUGCUUUUGCUUGGUGUACUUCCUGUUCGAUGGGUCAGCAUCAAUUUUGGUCGGUGGAUAAAGGCUCAGAGAAUGUGGCAUCUUCGGGUGUGUUAUAGCUCUGGGUUGUAUACAUCGGCUGGGAUUGAGGAACUCAGCACGCCGCAAGGCCGGGUACUUGUACCACGUACGUGCUUAGGAUGCUGGCAUAAUGGCUUUAAUCGACCCGUCUUGAAACACGG
rnacentral:rRNA from 1 species